UACGUAGGGGGCAAGCGUUGUCCGGAUUCAUUGGGCGUAAAGAGCGUGUAGGCGGCCAGGUAGGUCGGUUGUGAAAACUGGAGGCUCAACCUUCAGAGGUCGACCGAAACCAUCUGGCUAGAGUCCGGGAGAGGAGAGUGGAAUUCCUGGUGUAGCGGUGAAAUGCGCAGAUAUCAGGAAGAACACCCGUGGCGAAGGCGGGUCUCUGGGCAGUAACUGACGCUGAGGAGCGAAAGCCAGGGGAGCAAACGGG
rnacentral:rRNA from 1 species